ACGGGUGGUAAUGCCGGAUGCUCCAUCACACUGCAUGGUGUGUUGGGAAAGCCUUUGCGGCAUGGGAUGGGGUCGCGUCCUAUCAGCUUGAUGGCGGGGUAACGGCCCACCAUGGCUUCGACGGGUAGCCGGCCUGAGAGGGCGACCGGCCACAUUGGGACUGAGAUACGGCCCAGACUCCUACGGGAGGCAGCAGUGGGGAAUAUUGCACAAUGGGCGCAAGCCUGAUGCAGCGACGCCGCGUGAGGGAUGGAGGCCUUCGGGUUGUAAACCUCUUUUGUUAGGGAGCAAGGCAUUUUGUGUUGAGUGUACCUUUCGAAUAAGCACCGGCUAACUACGUGCCAGCAGCCGCGGUAAUACGUAGGGUGCAAGCGUUAUCCGGAAUUAUUGGGCGUAAAGGGCUCGUAGGCGGUUCGUCGCGUCCGGUGUGAAAGUCCAUCGCUUAACGGUGGAUCCGCGCCGGGUACGGGCGGGCUUGAGUGCGGUAGGGGAGACUGGAAUUCCCGGUGUAACGGUGGAAUGUGUAGAUAU
rnacentral:rRNA from 1 species